AUUGACGAGAGCUUUGGAAUAAUUGGACACCAUCAGACUUUCUCUCCUAGCACAGUCCAUAGCUUCCGAGGCUCCAGGACCUUCUCGUCCUUCUGCUUGUGCUAGUACUUCUAUCUGUAGCUAAGGCAGAUGUGGUCGAGGAUGUGCCCGUGGCCUUGAUCCUGAGACUCCUCAUCAUAUCUCUGACUCUUCUGAUUCUGAACCCUCU
rnacentral:lncRNA from 1 species